rnacentral:piRNA from 1 species
UACAGUUUGUACUGUGUACAUUGUAGGAAC